rnacentral:rRNA from 1 species
AGUGAACGCUGGCGGUAGGCCUAACACAUGCAAGUCGAACGGCAGCACAGGAGAGCUUGCUCUCUGGGUGGCGAGUGGCGGACGAGUGAGGAAUACAUCGGAAUCUACCUUUUCGUGGGGGAUAACGUAGGGAAACUUACGCUAAUACCGCAUACGACCUACGGGUGAAAGUGGGGGACCGCAAGGCCUCACGCGAUUAGAUGAGCCGAUGUCCGAUUAGCUAGUUGGCGGGGUAAUGGCCCACCAAGGCGACGAUCGGUAGCUGGUCUGAGAGGAUGACCAGCCACACUGGAACUGAGACACGGUCCAGACUCCUACGGGAGGCAGCAGUGGGGAAUAUUGGACAAUGGGCGCAAGCCUGAUCCAGCCAUACCGCGUGGGUGAAGAAGGCCUUCGGGUUGUAAAGCCCUUUUGUUGGGAAAGAAAUCCUGUCGAUUAAUACUCGGUGGGGAUGACGGUACCCAAAGAAUAAGCACCGGCUAACUUCGUGCCAGCCGCCGCCGUAAGAC